UAGACAGUCAACCUAAAACACACAGUGUCCAUUAUAUUUCAAAGAGAAGGACCGCCAUGAUUCACAAUAAAGACUCCAAUAAGGCAGUGGCAGACAUGGCUCAUGGCUCGGUUAUGUCUUCUCUAAAAUACGUUUUUGAAGAAGGGAUAAGAAGUUGGGAAGGAUGUCUGGACGGCGACCCCUUCAUGUCUCAAGUACAGGGGAAUGAAAAGAGGAGAGACCUGAAGUGUUGGUGGGACCUGAGCCCUAAGACCAUGCCUCAGGACUACCUGGCCUGAUGAGUCAUUGCUGUCCCCAGUCCACCUGGCCGUGCUGCUGCUCCAGUUUCAACUGUUCUGCCUGCGGCUAUGGAACCCUGACCUGUUCACCGGACGUGCUACCUGUCCCAGACCUGCCGUUUUCAACUCUCUAGAGACAACAGGAGUGGUAGAGAUACUCUGAAUGAUCGGCUAUGAAAAGCCAACUGACAUUUACUCCUGAGGUGCUGACCUGUUGCACCCUCUACAACCACUGUGAUUAUUAUUAUUUGACCCUGCUGGUCAUCUAUGAACAUUUGAACAUCUUGGCCAUGUUCUGUUAUAAUCUCCACCCGGCACAGCCAGAAGAGGACUGGCCACCUGUCACGGUUGUGUAUAGAGACGGACCAAGGCGCAGCUUGCUCUGAGUUAGACAUCUUUAUUUAUUUGAAACUUACAAAAAAAAAAGGAAACCAAUAACGAACCGUAACAUAAGAGGUGCUACAUGCACUAACUCAAAACAAGAUACCACAAAACACAGUGGGGAAAUGGCUGCCUAAAUAUGAUCACCAAUCAGAGACAACGAUAAACAGCUGCCUCUGAUUGGGAACUAUACCAGGCCAACAUAGAAAUAAAACCCCCAAGAUUAGAACACCCCCCUAGUCACACCCCAACAUAACGGAAAUACAGAAUUAAAAAGCUCUCUAUGGUCAGGGAGUGAUACCACCCCUCAUUGCCUGGUUCCUCUCUAGGUUUCUUCCUAGGUUCUGGCCUUUCUAGGGAGUUUUUUCUAGCCAC
ensembl:lncRNA